rnacentral:tRNA from 4 species
UGUGCCCUUGAUCUAGCGGCUAUGAGGUCGGUCUCCAAAACCGUACAACCCAGGUUCGAGUCCUGGAGGGCAUGCCAA